rnacentral:rRNA from 2 species
GAUUUCUGACAUGACGUACCUGGCCCGCCACCAAAAGGUGUGUGAGUGCUGGGUUGCGUUUGUCAUCCUUCCAAGGAGCUGCUCUGCCCUUCACUGGGUUGGAGUAGUCACUUGGAUCUUUUACUUUGAAAAAAUUAGAGUGUUUAAAGCAGGCUUUUGCUAUGAAUACAUUAGCAUGGAAUAAUAAUUUAGGACUUCGGUUCUAUUUUGUUGGUUUCUAGGACUGAAGUAAUGAUUGAUAGGGAUAGUUGGGGGUGCUAGUAUUCAGCGGCCAGAGGUGAAAUUCUCGGAUUCGCUGAAGACUAACUUAUGCGAAAGCAUU